GGCACUGCCCGGGAACAGCUCGGUGGCCAGGCGCUCCAGGCGCCGGCCGUGCUCCGGGGGCACCGCGUACCAGGUUUUGGGCUCCCCGAAGUGCAGCCAGAGCUACUGUGACUGGAGAAACUGCCAAGGACUGAGUAAGGAGGAAUAGCUGGAAGAUGAUAUAGAGCAGUUAAUGCUGGGCUUUCCAGAUAUAACUGAGAGCACUCAAGAGUCUUGGGGAUAGAUGGUUAUGAAGCAGUGUCCAAAAAUGACCCUAGAUGUUUACCCUAGAAUGCCUCAACAAUAGGGUAGUCCAAACUCCUUCCCCUAGCUGAUGGGAAGUGGUUAUGUACAGCUUCCCACGGGAAUAAUGGCUUGCUUCCCGUGGCUAGAGAACUGUACCAUCUAAAUGGACCCAAGGUCCCCAGCUGCCUCCUAAAGGGCAGGCCCCAAAUAGCUGGUAUGACAUCUAGACUGAUUCCCCCAGCAGUCUGUAUGUACUGUUCCUGAUAAAGUUGCUGCCAUUGGAGCCCUAUAAGAAGGAAGAACAGGGGAAGGAGCCCCUCCACAAGAACAAAACGAAAGUCAUAUCCAGCCUGCCUCCUGAACAUGAGAUGCCUCUCUGUGGAAAUGCUAAAGAAAAAGGGGGACUGUGUGCACCUUGGACUUGAUGUGUUUCCUUAACUCAUACUGUGUAACUUUGAAGUAUUUAUCCCCAGGCCUUGAAAAACUGGUGGCAGCCCCUACAAGGACUAUCCAGCGGGACAAAAAAUUUCCCCAUGAACAAGGGGCAUUCAAAAGAUGGGAAGAAAGCAAAUAGUAAGGUUCCAUCAGGGUUAGGUUUUUCCAGGCAAGUAUGUCUCAUGCAAAGGGGGACACUGAUGGAUUAGAUUAGGUAGAUGGAGUGAUUAUAAUCAUCGGCCAUUAAAUCUAUCCUGGCUAAAAAAAGAAAUGAGAACAUGAGGGUGGUGAUGGAGAAUGAAAUAGUAUUUGACUUAUGGCUUCAGUUUCUCCAGUGGGUCAAACAAUCUUGUUAGAACACUAGGAAAUGUAAGCUGGAAAGAGAAUGGGGAU